ensembl:misc_RNA
CUGAAACAUUUUAGAGUGAAGUCUGUUGUUUAUCCACAAGCAGCAAACACAAGAUAGAGCUACAGUGUGAGUUUCCCCACACUGUCCUGUUAAUGACCUCAACUCUGACCUUGGAAGUCCUCUUGAAGGAAAAGGGGAAAUUUAGUCCAGAUCAUUUAUGGACAUUU